rnacentral:rRNA from 1 species
AAAUUGAAGAGUUUGAUCAUGGCUCAGAUUGAACGCUGGCGGCAGGCCUAACACAUGCAAGUCGAACGGUAGCACAGAGAGCUUGCUCUCGGGUGACGAGUGGCGGACGGGUGAGUAAUGUCUGGGAAACUGCCUGAUGGAGGGGGAUAACUACUGGAAACGGUAGCUAAUACCGCAUAACGUCGCAAGACCAAAGAGGGGGACCUUCGGGCCUCUUGCCAUCAGAUGUGCCCAGAUGGGAUUAGCUAGUAGGUGGGGUAACGGCUCACCUAGGCGACGAUCCCUAGCUGGUCUGAGAGGAUGACCAGCCACACUGGAACUGAGACACGGUCCAGACUCCUACGGGAGGCAGCAGUGGGGAAUAUUGCACAAUGGGCGCAAGCCUGAUGCAGCCAUGCCGCGUGUAUGAAGAAGGCCUUCGGGUUGUAAAGUACUUUCAGCGGGGAGGAAGGUGUUGNGGUUAAUAACCGCAGCAAUUGACGUUACCCGCAGAAGAAGCACCGGCUAACUCCGUGCCAGCAGCCGCGGUAAUACGGAGGGUGCAAGCGUUAAUCGGAAUUACUGGGCGUAAAGCGCACGCAGGCGGUCUGUCAAGUCGGAUGUGAAAUCCCCGGGCUCAACCUGGGAACUGCAUUCGAAACUGGCAGGCUAGAGUCUUGUAGAGGGGGGUAGAAUUCCAGGUGUAGCGGUGAAAUGCGUAGAGAUCUGGAGGAAUACCGGUGGCGAAGGCGGCCCCCUGGACAAAGACUGACGCUCAGGUGCGAAAGCGUGGGGAGCAAACAGGAUUAGAUACCCUGGUAGUCCACGCCGUAAACGAUGUCGACUUGGAGGUUGUGCCCUUGAGGCGUGGCUUCCGGAGCUAACGCGUUAAGUCGACCGCCUGGGGAGUACGGCCGCAAGGUUAAAACUCAAAUGAAUUGACGGGGGCCCGCACAAGCGGUGGAGCAUGUGGUUUAAUUCGAUGCAACGCGAAGAACCUUACCUACUCUUGACAUCCAGAGAACUUUCCAGAGAUGGAUUGGUGCCUUCGGGAACUCUGAGACAGGUGCUGCAUGGCUGUCGUCAGCUCGUGUUGUGAAAUGUUGGGUUAAGUCCCGCAACGAGCGCAACCCUUAUCCUUUGUUGCCAGCGGUCCGGCCGGGAACUCAAAGGAGACUGCCAGUGAUAAACUGGAGGAAGGUGGGGAUGACGUCAAGUCAUCAUGGCCCUUACGAGUAGGGCUACACACGUGCUACAAUGGCGCAUACAAAGAGAAGCGAACUCGCGAGAGCAAGCGGACCUCAUAAAGUGCGUCGUAGUCCGGAUUGGAGUCUGCAACUCGACUCCAUGAAGUCGGAAUCGCUAGUAAUCGUAGAUCAGAAUGCUACGGUGAAUACGUUCCCGGGCCUUGUACACACCGCCCGUCACACCAUGGGAGUGGGUUGCAAAAGAAGUAGGUAGCUUAACCUUCGGGAGGGCGCUUACCACUUUGUGAUUCAUGACUGGGGUGAAGUCGUAACAAGGUAACCGUAGGGGAACCUGCGGUUGGAUCACCUCCUUACCUUAAAGAA